CAGUCGCCACGGUAAAACGAAGGGUGCAAGCGUUACUCGGAAUUACUGGGCGUAAAGCGUGCGUAGGUGGUGGUUUAAGUCCGUUGUGAAAGCCCCGGGCUCAACCUGGGAAUUGCAGUGGAUACUGGGUCACUAGAGUGUGGUAGAGGAUAGUGGAAUUUCCGGUGUAGCAGUGAAAUGCGUAGAGAUCGGAAGGAACAUCUGUGGCGAAGGCGACUAUCUGGGCCAACACUGACACUGAGGCACGAAAGCGUGGGGUGCAAACAGGAUUAGAUACCCCGUAGUCCCUGUCUCUUAUACA
rnacentral:rRNA from 1 species